rnacentral:tRNA from 1 species
GGGGAUGUGGCUCAGUGGUAGAGCUCUUGCCUUGAAUGCAGAAGGUCUUGAGUUUGAUCCCCAGCACCA